UACGAAGGGGGGCUAGCGUUGUUCGGAAUUACUGGGCGUAAAGCGUACGUAGGCGGAUUGUUAAGUGAGGGGUGAAAUCCCGAGGCUCAACCUCGGAACUGCCUUUCAUACUGGCAAUCUUGAGUCCGGGAGAGGUGAGUGGAACUCCUAGUGUAGAGGUGAAAUUCGUAGAUAUUAGGAAGAACACCAGUGGCGAAGGCGGCUCACUGGCUCAUUACUGACGCUCAGGCGCGAUAGCGUGGGGAUCAAACAGG
rnacentral:rRNA from 1 species